rnacentral:lncRNA from 10 species
CCAGCCCAGAAGGAGAUUUUCAUUGAGUGAAUGGAAUUCCACAGUGAACACUUAUACUUCAUCCGUUGACUCUAGAUGACACUGAACCUCACGAUAGGAAACUUUCAGUGUGAGAUGGAUCAUCUCGUUUCAAAGAGCAAAGAACUGAUCCCUGAAAAGAUUGAGAGAAGGGAUGGGAUUUCUCCACAUUGCCCAGCCUGGCCUGGAUAGAAAGGAAGAUGUAGCACAAAGUGAGAUGGAGUAUUAAUGA